CGAUAAUGGAGAUUCUAAUUUCAAAUCCUCCCCCCAUUACCCCAAUUGAUUUAAAUACAAACACUAGAAACAAAAUUCCCAUGAUAACAGCAAUAAUUACGAUAACGAGUUUCCACAAUUGAAUGCACACCAAUCAACACUUGUCAACUACACUAAAAAGCGGACAAGAAUGCAUAGAUGUACUAACAUAAAUAUCAUUAAGAGCAUAUCU
rnacentral:misc_RNA from 1 species